rnacentral:rRNA from 1 species
GAUGAACGCUGGCGGCGUGCCUAAUACAUGCAAGUCGAGCGAACAGAUAAGGAGCUUGCUCCUUUGACGUUAGCGGCGGACGGGUGAGUAACACGUGGAUAACCUACCUAUAAGACUGGGAUAACUUCGGGAAACCGGAGCUAAUACCGGAUAACAUAUUGAACCGCAUGGUUCAAUAGUGAAAGGCGGCUUUGCUGUCACUUAUAGAUGGAUCCGCGCCGUAUUAGCUAGUUGGUAAGGUAACGGCUUACCAAGGCAACGAUACGUAGCCGACCUGAGAGGGUGAUCGGCCACACUGGAACUGAGACACGGUCCAGACUCCUACGGGAGGCAGCAGUAGGGAAUCUUCCGCAAUGGGCGAAAGCCUGACGGAGCAACGCCGCGCGAGUGAUGAAGGUCUUCGGAUCGUAAAACUCUGUUAUCAGGGAAGAACAAAUGUGUAAGUAACUGUGCACAUCUUGACGGUACCUGAUCAGAAAGCCACGGCUAACUACGUG